GAUGAACGCUGGCGGCGUGCCUAAUACACGCAAGUCGAGCGAAUGGAUUAAGAGCUUGCUCUUAUGAAGUUAGCGGCGGACGGGUGAGUAACACGUGGGUAACCUGCCCAUAAGACUGGGAUAACUCCGGGAAACCGGGGCUAAUACCGGAUAACAUUUUGAACCGCAUGGUUCGAAAUUGAAAGGCGGCUUCGGCUGUCACUUAUGGAUGGACCCGCGUCGCAUUAGCUAGUUGGUGAGGUAACGGCUCACCAAGGCAACGAUGCGUAGCCGCCCUGAGAGGGGGAGCGGCCACACUGGGACUGGGACACGGCCCAGACUCCCACGGGAGGCAGCAGUAGGGAAUCUUCCGCAAUGGACGAAAGUCUGACGGAGCAACGCCGCGUGAGUGAUGAAGGCUUUCGGGUCGUAAAACUCUGUUGUUAGGGAAGAACAAGUGCUAGUUGAAUAAGCUGGCACCUUGACGGUACCUAACCAGAAAGCCACGGCUAACUACGUGCCAGCCGCCGCAGUAA
rnacentral:rRNA from 1 species